UCUGCGGCACAUGCUCAGUAAUGUACAUUAAACGCGAACGCUGCGCUGUGGCUGUUGAGGUCAAUGCACUGAAAAAAUAGAGCGAGUCUCUCCACUACACCGCCUCCAUUUUGAAUAGCCAUGUAAUAGGGGAUUCGCACAGUUGGUGUGCGUGUGUGUGUGUGUGUGUCUCGCCCACUGUGCUGCGUAGUGUCAACAAGCCACAACCAACCAAACAUCCGUCGACAUGGACGACCUGUUCAGUCCGCGCAGGAGCCUGAACAGCACACAAGGUGAAAUAAGAGUGGGACCAAGUCACCAGGCCAAGCUCCCAGAGCUGCAGCCACGACCAGCACCUAGUGCACAGACCCAGAUAGACAAUGAGGAGCUCAUGUGGACACCUGGAGUCAAUGACUGUGACCUUCUGAUGUACCUCAGAGCAGCCAGGAGCAUGGCAGCAUUUGCAGGGAUGUGUGACGGCGGAUCCACAGAGGAUGGGUGUUUGGCAGCUUCCCGUGAUGAUACAACGCUGAACGCUCUCAACAUGCUCCAUGCAAGCCAUUAUGAUGCAGCCAAAGCUCUGCAGCGUCUGGUCAAGAGGCCACUACCCAAACUGAUUGAAAAAUGCUGGUCAGAAGAUGAUGUGAAACGGUUCAUCAAAGGUCUGAGACAGUAUGGAAAGAAUUUUUUUCGCAUCCGGAAAGACUUUCUCCCCAGCAAGAAGACUGGAGAGUUGAUCACAUUUUAUUACCACUGGAAGAAAACCCCAGAGGCCGCCGGGACCAGAGCUUAUCGACAGCAACGCCGGCAGCCGUCCUCUCGCAAAGCGAAAACUCGAUCCGCAGCGGCGACUGUCAACCCUCCAUCUCGAAACUAUUCAGUUGAGGCCAGUUCUGCCAGCGAGGAUGAUGUCGACAGUGAAGACAGCGAACAGGAAACAAAGAGCUGCAGCCACUGUGGAUCAACAACUUCUAAGGAUUGGCACCAGGUCGGGAGAGACAACUCUCUGCUCUGCACAACUUGCCGCACGUACGAAAACAAACACGGAUGUCUGCCGCCUGCUUCUAAAUCUGGGAACGCUUCCUUUAUGUUCAAACCUGUGAAAGGGGAAGAAGAGGUGAACAACAAGCAUGGCAUGAGGACUCGGCAGAGCAGAGCACCUCAGCUGACAUCGUUAAGAAGUGGCCUCAGGAGGUUCAGUGGCUCUCCAAACACAGAGGAGUCACAGUCUGGUAACCAGAACUUCCCAACUGGAGGAAUCUCUAGUUCCUUAAGAUCCUCUGCAGAUCAUAAAAAUGACUCCACCAAAAAAAUAAACAAGAAAAUAAAAGAGGAGGUAACGGCGCCAAAGACAGCAAAACGUGUGAGGGAAAGUCCUGCUCUGGAGUCUGAUGAACCUGAAAAGAUGACGCCUAAAAGGCCAAAGGCACAGGACCCACGAGGCGGGUCCCGGUCAGAGGGAGAGGCAGAAGAAGAAAGCUCGUCAGAAAGCCGCAGCGCUCAGGACGACUGCAGUGACGCCAAAGACAUCGACCAGGACAACCGCAGCUCCUCUCCCAGCAUUCCCAGCCCUCAACAGGGGAACGAGAGCGACUCGGACUCUUCUGCCCAGCCCAGCGGGGCCACAGCUGAGGCUGGUGCUGCGACUCUGACGGACGCCCCGCUCCUCCAAGCCGUUCCCUCUCAGGACCCUCCCAUUCCUCCUCAACCGACACAAAGCCCAGCCUCUGCUGACCUGGCUCAGAACCCCCCUUCAUCCUCUGCCGACCCUCCACAGGGUGGAGCUGCUCAAUCCCCUGCGACAGCCGGCCCAGGGUGCCGAGCAACUCUGGCGCCUGGUCCAAGGCCACAGCCAGCAGCGCUGGAUCUGGACACGCCUCUCGCUCCUGCGUCACACUUCUCACCUGCUCUCGGCUCCACGCAGCCCCCGCAGCCGAACGGUUCCCCCCCUCACACUCCGCCGCGCUCUGUGCCCUUCUUUAGGGAUGCUCAGCUGCCGCACCCACCUCAAGUCAAGCCCCCUCCUACAACCCCAAUCCCACCGUCACACAAACAGCUGCCUCACCCAUCUGCAGCACCUUUUCCCCAGAUGCCCUCUAACCUCCCACCACCUCCUGCUCUGAAGCCCCUCAACUCUCUCCCCAACCAGCAUCCUCCAGGCGCCCCUCCCCCUCCUCUGCAGCUCAUGCCUCAUCCUUUGCCUCCACACUCGGCUCCAUCCCAACUUCCAGUGUCGUCUCAGGUGCAGAGCCACCCUGGGAAAAGUGGGACCUCAUCCCUCCCAGCGGCUCCGGCUCCGCUCCCUCUCACAUCUUCCACUGCCGGCCCAGUUCCGACCCUGCAGCCGUCCUUCCCACCGCUCCCACCCAGACCCUCUCCAAACUCUGCUGCCGGAGGAUCUCAAAUUCAGAUUAAAGAAGAGCCGCUGGAUGAAGUGGAGGAGCCGGAGAGCCCGCCGUCUCCUCCCCGAAGCCCCUCACCAGAGCCCACUGUUGUCAACAUGGCAAGCCACGCCAGUCAGUCUGCGAGGUUUAUAAAACACUUGGAUCGAGGCUACAACUCCUGUGCGAGGACGGAUCUUUUCUUUACUCCACUGUCUUCCUCCAAGCUGGCCAAGAAACGGGAGGAGGCUGUAGAAAGGAUGAGGAGGGAGGCUGAGCUCAGCGUGCGGCAGGAACGUGAGAGAGAGAAAGACAGAGAGCGGGAGAGAGAGACGGAUAGAAACUCUAGGGCGUCCAGCUCUUCCCAUGACAGUCGCCUGAGUGAAGUGCAGAUGACGGCUCAGAUCCACGGCCGGCCCUCCUUUGACCAGCCCCCCACCACUGUGGCGGCCGUGCCCCCGUACAUCGGCCCCGACACACCGGCCAUGCGCAGCCUGAACGACUAUGCUCGGCCCCACGUCAUGUCCCCCUCCAACCGCAACCAUCCGUUCUACGUCUCGCUGAGCCCAGGCGACCCCCUGCUGGCCUAUCACAUGCCCGGCCUGUACAGCACGGACCCCGGCCUCCGAGAGCGGGAACUCAGGAACUUCAGGGAGCGGGAGCUGCGCGAACGAAUGAAGCCUGGCUUUGAGGUCAAACCCCCAGACCUGGAAACCCUUCACCCAUCAGCCAACCACCUGGAGCAUUUCGCUAGACACGGGGCGCUGGCUCUGCCCCACCUACCAGGACCGUCCCACCCUUUUGCCCCCUUCCAUCCAGGGCUGAGCCACCUGGAGCGUGAGAGGCUGGCGCUGGCUGGGCCUCAGAUGCGCCCAGAGCUGAGUUAUGCCGAGAGGCUGACUGCAGAGCGGCUUCAUGCUGAGAGGAUGGCCUCUGUGGCAACUGAUCCAGCCGCCCGGCUGCAGAUGCUCAAUGUCACCCCUCAUCAUCACCAGCACUCUCACAUUCAUUCCCACCUGCACCUCCACCAGCAGGACCCCCUCGGUCAAGGUUCGAGUCCUCAUCCUCUGGUCGACCCACUGGCCGCCGGACCACGUUUGGCUCGAUUCCCCUUCCCUGGUGGCCCAAUCCCAAACCCCUUACUCGCUGAUCUUCCUCAUGAUCAUGAGAUGCUGCGCCAUCCGCUAUUUGGAGCUGCAUAUCCUCGAGAACUUCAGGGACCGAUUCCUCACAUGUCUGCCUCACAUCAGCUCCAGGCCAUGCAUGCUCAGUCUGCAGAGCUGCAGCGGAUGGCAAUGGAGCAGCAGUGGCAUCACCUGCAUGGGGGCCCUCUGCCAAGUCAGGAAGAUUAUUACAGCUACAAGAGGUACUUCUAACAUCCAGAUGUGAAAACCUCAACCUUUUUCUUUUACAGAGUUUGAACCAGCCGCCUGAAGAAAGAAGGUGACAAGCCGUCUUGAGGUGGUGCAUGCUCUGAGCUCCAACAGAUCAAUACUGUGUACUUUUAACACUCUAAACGUAUUUUUGUGUGGCGUCUUCUGUUUGUUUGUGUUGACAAAUUUUAGAAGAAUAGUGGUGGAACUCAAAAGUGUGUUUCGUGUUCUGCGCAUCAUGAAACCCUUAGAUUUUCCUUAAGAAUAUACACUAGUUUUCUCAUCCAAUUAAUGAACAGUGCCACCAUCUGGGACUUAAAGUGACAGGUUUCCUUUCUAACCAACUAUUAAACUGUUUCUUAUGCAGUCAUAUGAGUUUGCUAAAGAAUGAUGAAAAAAGACCGAUUUUGGUGUUGACUUUAAAUAUGUUUAUUGUUUCUAAUAGAGUUCCUGUACAGAAUAAUGUUUAAAUCUGUGUGUGUAUGAUAGAUAUGACCCAGCAUGACUCACCCUUCAGUUUUUCCACUGAGAUAGUAGAACGAAGUUGUAUUGUGUUGGUAGGCUUUAAAAGCACCGUAGGGGACUGGAUUUAAUCCUAAAUAAGAUGAAAUGUAUCUUUAAAUCCUAAAUUUUUAUAUAUCAAUAUAUCUUUUCACAGUAUAACCGAAGCUCAUUUUUGAGAAUGUAAAUACUACAUGUUCACAAUAAUCUAUAUGACCGAGUAUUAUUGAUAUAUCAGUAAAUGUAAACACUUGAUUCAGCAUGAGAACAAUAAAAUCCUAAGGUAGUGCUAUAAGGUGUGCUAAAUACUUGGACCAUAACCUGCCUGUCUGUUUACUGACAGAAGGUUUUAUUAGGAGAAUCUAUUUACAUUGUUUUCCUGAAAAUGUCACAGCUGGAUAGAAACUAAAUCUUAAACAUUUGGGUGGAGUUUUUCUAAAAAAAAAAAUAAAAAUAAAAUACUGCCUAAUCUCAGUAUUUAUGUGAUAUAUAUCAAUCUGUAUCCAUACCAUAUUUAUUUCAAUAAAUAUUUCUCCAGUGACACAA